rnacentral:rRNA from 1 species
GGGCCCGCACAAGCGGUGGAUUAUGUGGAUUAAUUCGAUGCAACGCGAAAAACCUUACCUGGCCUUGACAUGUACCGAAUUUAGCAGAGAUGCUUUAGUGCUCGUAAGAGAACGGUAACACAGGUGCUGCAUGGCUGUCGUCAGCUCGUGUCGUGAGAUGUUGGUUAAGUCCCGCAACGAGCGCAACCCUUGCCAUUAAUUGCCAUCAUUUAGUUGGGCACUUUAAUGGGACUGCCGGUGACAAACCGGAGGAAGGUGGGGAUGACGUCAAGUCCUCAUGGCCCUUAUGGCCAGGGCUUCACACGUAAUACAAUGGACGGUACAGAGGGACGCCAACCCGCGAGGGGGAGCC